rnacentral:rRNA from 1 species
CGGACGGGAUUGGAGAGCUUGCUUUCCAUGAGAGUGGCGCACGGGUGCGUAACACGUAUGUAACCUACCUUGUUCAGGGGGAUAGCCUCUCGAAAGAGAGAUUAAGACCGCAUAACAUUAUGAAGUAGCAUUACUUUAUAAUCAAAUAUUUAUAGGAACAAGAUGGGCAUGCGGAACAUUAGCUAGUUGGUAAGGUAACGGCUUACCAAGGCUACGAUGUUUAGGGGAUCUGAGAGGAUGACCCCCCACACUGGUACUGAGACACGGACCAGACUCCUACGGGAGGCAGCAGUAAGGAAUAUUGGUCAAUGGGCGGAAGCCUGAACCAGCCAUGCCGCGUGCAGGAAGACGGCCCUACGGGUUGUAAACUGCUUUUAUACGGGAAUAAACCUACUUACGUGUAAGUAGCUGAAUGUACUGUAAGAAUAAGGAUCGGCUAACUCCGUGCCAGCAGCCGCGGUAAUACGGAGGAUCCAAGCGUUAUCCGGAUUUAUUGGGUUUAAAGGGUGCGUAGGUGGCCUGUUAAGUCAGGGGUGAAAGACGGUAGCUUAACUAUCGCAGUGCCCUUGAUACUGAUGGGCUUGAAUGAACUAGAGGUAGGCGGAAUGUGACAAGUAGCGGUGAAAUGCAUAGAUAUGUCACAGAACACCAAUUGCGAAGGCAGCUUACUAUGGUUUUAUUGACACUGAGGCACGAAAGCGUG